rnacentral:rRNA from 1 species
AACGAACGCUGGCGGCGUGCCUAACACAUGCAAGUCGAGCGCGAAUGGAGCAAUCCUAGUAGAGCGGCGCACGGGUGAGUAACACGUGGGUAAUCUGCCUGGAAGCCCGGGACAACCUGCCGAAAGGCUGGCUAAUACCGGAUAAGCCCACAGGGUCUUCGGACUCCGAGGGAAAAGAUGGCCUCUGCAUGCAAGCUAUUACUUCCAGAUGAGCCCGCGGCCCAUCAGCUUGUUGGCGGGGUAAUGGCCCACCAAGGCAACGACGGGUAGCUGGUCUGAGAGGACGAUCAGCCACACUGGAACUGAGACACGGUCCAGACUCCUACGGGAGGCAGCAGUGGGGAAUUUUGCGCAAUGGGCGAAAGCCUGACGCAGCAACGCCGCGUGUGUGAUGAAGGUCUUCGGAUCGUAAAGCACUUUCGACCGGGACGAAAACCCGCUGGCCAAUAUCCAGCGGUCUGACGGUACCGGGAGAAGAAGCACCGGCUAACUCUGUGCCAGCCGCCGCAGUAACAC